CAGCACCUCAAGUGGUCAGGAUGAUUAUUGGGCCUAAAGCAUCCGUAGCCGGCGCGGUAAGUUUUCGGUUAAAUCUGUACGCUCAACGUACAGGCUGCCGGGAAUACUGCAGCGCUAGGGAGUGGGAGAGGUAGACGGUACUCGGUAGGAAGGGGUAAAAUCCUUUGAUCUAUUGAUGACCACCUGUGGCGAAGGCGGUCUACCAGAACACGUCCGACGGUGAGGGAUGAAAGCUGGGGGAGCAAACCGGAUUAGAUACCCGAGUAGUCC
rnacentral:rRNA from 1 species